UUUUGAUUAAAAAAUAUUAAAUCAAGAUUAUAGUUAAUUAGAUUUUAUAAAAAAAUUUACAAAAAAACAUCGGUAGAUGGAGCCACUUACAUUUACGUCAAAACAACCUCAUUUAACUUAAUUUUGCAAUAAUAGUCUUAGUUGCGAUUUUAAAUUAAAUUUGGUUUUAAUCGCGGUUAAUUUCAUGGAAAAGAAUGAAAGAAAAUAAUAGUGAUAGUGAUUAAUUGCACGAUCACGACUGGUGCUUAAAAUUUUAGGUCUAGUGUUAGUUCUAGUUUUAAAUGUUAUUCAGCGCUUGAUUGUUGUAUAUUUUUAUUGCAGUUGUUGAAAGGUUAAAUACACGUAUUAGAAAAGUAUGUAUAUUAGAUGAAAUAGAACAAGUGGUAGAGGUAAAAUAGAAUUUGAUUGAAGAUUUGAUUAAAUUAAUUGAGCGGAACAGCUUCAUUUGAGGGAUCUUCAUUCCUAUUGAAAAAUCAUUCUUAAUUUAAUCAAUUAUUCUAAUAAAGUUGAAUCAAAUUGAUUUUG